rnacentral:rRNA from 1 species
UACGUAGGUGGCAAGCGUUACUCGGAAUCACUAGGCGUAAAGCGCAGGUAGGCGGUUCGGUAAGUCUCUUGUGAAAGCUCCCGGCUUAACUGGGAGAGGUCAAGGGAAACUGUCGGGCUAGAGUGUGGCAGAGGAUGCUGGAAUUCCUGGUGUAGCGGUGAAAUGCGUAGAUAUCGGGAGGAACACCUAUGGCGAAAGCAGGCAUCUGGGCAUGUCCUGACGCUGAGGAGCGAAAGUGUGGGGAGCGAACAGG